rnacentral:rRNA from 1 species
GAGUAAUGCUUCGGAAUCUGCCCAAUGGUGGGGAAUAACCAGCCGAAAGGUUGGCUAAUACCGCAUAAGUCCUACGGGAGAAAGCAGGGGGUCGUAAGACCUUGCGCCGAUGGAUGAGCCGAAGUCGGAUUAGCUAGUUGGUAGGGUAACGGCCUACCAAGGCGACGAUCCGUAGCUGGUCUGAGAGGACGACCAGCCACACUGGGACUGAGACACGGCCCAGACUCCUACGGGAGGCAGCAGUGGGGAAUAUUGGACAAUGGGGGAAACCCUGAUCCAGCGACGCCGCGUGUGUGAAGAAGGCCUGCGGGUUGUAAAGCACUUUUAGUGGGGAUGAAAAGCUCAGGGAUAACACCUCUGGGUCUUGACCUAACCCACAGAAAAAGCACCGGCUAACUCUGUGCCAGCAGCCGCGGUAAUACAGAGGGUGCAAGCGUUAAUCGGAAUUACUGGGCGUAAAGCGUGCGUAGACGGUUAUGUAAGUCGGGUGUGAAAGCCCCGGGCUCAACCUGGGAAUGCCAUUCGAGACUGCAUAGCUAGGGUGCGGAAGAGGGAAGCGGAAUUUCCGGUGUAGCGGUGAAAUGCGUAGAUAUCGGAAGGAACACCAGUGGCGAAAGCGGCUUCCUGGUC